rnacentral:rRNA from 1 species
GUAGGGCGGGACACGUGGUAUCCUGUCUGAAUAUGGGGGGACCAUCCUCCAAGGCUAAAUACUCCUGACUGACCGAUAGUGAACCAGUACCGUGAGGGAAAGGCGAAAAGAACCCCGGCGAGGGGAGUGAAAAAGAACCUGAAACCGUGUACGUACAAGCAGUGGGAGCCCCACCACUAAGCCAGUGGUGAACUCCACAUACGCAUCCUUUGCUGAGGAUACGGUUAACGGAGCGAAAGCGACGUUCAACCGCAAAAGAAGCAGAGGGGGCUUAGUGGUGGGGUGACUGCGUACCUUUUGUAUAAUGGGUCAGCGACUUAUAUUCUGUAGCAAGGUUAACCGCAUAGGGGAGCCGGAGGGAAACCGAGUCUUAACCGGGCGUUAAGUUGCAGGGUAUAGACCCGAAACCCGGUGAUCUAGCCAUGGGCAGGUUGAAGGUUGGGUAACACUAACUGGAGGACCGAACCGACUAAUGUUGAAAAAUUAGCGGAUGACCUGUGGC